CUCAUCAGUUAAGAGGCUGAUUGAACACAGGUGUGUCAGCCUUCAUUCUUGCUCCCGUGGUCACGUGAUCUCUCGGGUCACAACAGUCCAGGAGUAGAGGCAGGGGCAAGAGCUGCAGCUGUUGUUGGCCCCCAGUCACAGGAGCGGCUGGUGCAGUGGGCGUUCACCUGUUGAUUUGUGGUUAUCAUCAUUUGUGGUUCGCUGUGGCACUGGUCGUAGUUUUGGUGUUUUCUGUUGGGAAAAGGGUUUAACAUGUGAAUAGUUUUUGUUGCUCACCGAUAGCAGACUUCCAGUGCACCAGCCUGCUGAUUGGCGAGCCACACCACUGUAGCAAGACGCAUCAACUUUUUAAUGAACCAGCCUGUUAUGGCACUUUGACCCACACCAACUGUUGGCUUUAUCAUUGAAGUUCACCUGUACUUACAUUUAACACUAGAUAGGAGUCAUAUCUAUUAUUUAUACCUUAAGAUUCAUGUGAAGAAUGGUAAAAGUUGAAAUAAUACUAUUUUAUUUUAUUCUGAAAUGUGUGCAUGAGCUACAGUGUAGGUUGAUUGAGGAUUACAGUUAAUAUAAGGAAACAGAUAAUUGCGGUCCAUUAGGUCUAUUCCCUUGGACUGAUUAUACCAGCUCUGCUUCUACAUCCUUCAGUUGAUCCCGGCCGGUCACAGUUUGGAUUAUUUCCAUGUUCUCUCCUUCCUAUUUUAUGUUUAAGUUGAUUUUAAAUCACUCGAUAAGUUUGAUAGUUUUGAUUUCAUGGGCCCAGUUUUUAAGGCAUUCGUCUCGGAAAUUUCUUUGGCUACAACAAUAAAAUGGAGUGUGCUACAUUAAAUAUACAGCAGCAACACCUGUACAUACACAGCAUCAUUGAAUCUCUGGAAUAUCCACAGAGAACGGUUUUCAUGGGAGAGAUUUCUUCAGUUGAACAUAUUCUAUUGCAUCAACAUGUUGGGUCCAAACAUAGAAAUGACAAAUUUAAGGUAUUUACAUGCAGAGGAGUGAGAUUUAUGUCCUGACGUUUGCUCUUUUACAAAUGUUUGAAGAUUUAAACCCUUUUUCUUCAAGACAAGCAUUUGUUUAUUGAUUUCCAAGAUUUACCCACUGAGCACAAUACAACCUUUUUGGACUGAAAAACUCUGACUCUUCUUUAGAAACCCCUUUUUAUAAAGCUGUUUGUUUUUUGUAAGAUUACCCAGAGUAAUGAGAUGUUUGUGCUGUUAGAAGUCACAUUGCAUUUGCAGUAUUUUGUAACCAAAAUUAUUUGCAAGGCUCAAUGACAUCAGGGCUGAAUAAGAAAAUAUCUUUUUUGGAAAUGUGAAUUAACUGAUAAAUUGUACUUAAUGCAACCAGGGGA